rfam:Asian citrus Psyllid, Diaphorina citri - Florida Strain, whole genome shotgun sequence.
GCCUCGGUAGCGCAGUGGUCAAGACGCUCGCCUGGUAAACAGGAGGGCGUGGGUUCGAUCCCAGCCGAGGCA